rnacentral:rRNA from 1 species
AUUGAACGCUGGCGGCAGGCCUAACACAUGCAAGUCGAACGAGUGGCGGACGGGUGAGUAAUGUCUGGGAAACUGCCUGAUGGAGGGGGAUAACUACUGGAAACGGUAGCUAAUACCGCAUACCAUCGGAUGUGCCCAGAUGGGAUUAGCUAGUAGGUGGGGUAAAGGCUCAACUAAGCGACUAUCCCUAUCUGGUCUGAGAGGAUGACCAGCCACAAUGGAACUGAGACACGGUCCAGAUUCCUACGGGAGGCAGCAGUGGGGAAUAGUGCACAAUGGGCGCAAGCCUGAUGCAGCCAUGCGGCGUGUGUGAAGAAGGCCUUCGGGUUGUAGAGUACUUUCCGCGGGGAGGGAAUACGCGCAGAAGAAGGGCCGGCUAACUCCGUGCCAGCAGCAGCAGUAAUAC